AAGCCAGAUAAAGCUACAUACCCUGUUGUAUUGGUAAAACAUUUCUGGCUCCAGCCAGAGAAAGCCAGAAGAGCUGGGAGGUGACUCAGAGGACACGUGUUAGCAAACCCAGCUUUGAAGUAAGGUGGCUGGCUGAGCCAGCUAUAGCUGGCUGGGCCAGCUUAAAAAUCUGUUUCACUAUAAAUAGACAUCAGAUGCAGAAAAAAGGAGAUACCAUUCCCACCACUCAAAUUCAUCAAGGAGAGACCUAGGAGGCAGAUUCAAGGGGUUUUGGAGGUGGAUACACAACAAUAGUUGAGGAAUCAUCAUUGUAAUGUUUGUUCAUCUCUUUUCUUCUUAAUCUUUUGUAAAGUUCUUAUGAAUAUGGGUAACUAAUUUCUCUUGUUGUUGGGAUUGAAUGUAAAUUACUCUAUUAGUAUGUGUUUUUCUUGAUCAUGGUGUUAUAUAUAUUCUAGUUACAAAUCAA
rnacentral:lncRNA from 1 species